rnacentral:rRNA from 1 species
GCCCAAGAGAUCGGGAUAACACCUGGAAACAGAUGCUAAUACCGGAUAANAACAGAUGAUGCCUAUCAACUGUUUAAAAGAUGGUUCUGCUAUCACUCUUGGAUGGACCUGCGGUGCAUUAGCUAGUUGGUAGGGUAACGGCCUACCAAGGCGAUGAUGCAUAGCCGAGUUGAGAGACUGAUCGGCCACAUUGGGACUGAGACACGGCCCAAACUCCUACGGGAGGCAGCAGA